rnacentral:rRNA from 1 species
CGUCUAGUGGUGCUCUUCACCGAGUGUCACUAGUGAUCGGUACGUUUACUUUGAAAAAAUUAGAGUGCUCAAAGCGGUCUUUACACGAUCGAAUAAUGUUGCAUGGAAUAAUGAAAUAGGACUUUGGUUCUAUUUUGUUGGUCUUCGGAACCAAGGUAAUGAUUAAGAGGGACAGACGGGGGCAUUAGUAUUGCGACGCUAGAGGUGAAAUUCUUGGACCGUCGCAAGACUAACUAAAGCGAAAGCAUUUGCCAAGAAUGUNUUCAUUAAUCAAGAACGAAAGUUAGAGGUUCGAAGGCGAUCAGAUACCGCCCUAGUUCUAACCAUAAACGAUGCCAACCAGCAAUCAGCCUGUGUUCUCUUGAUGACACGGCUGGCGGCUUCCGGGAAACCAAAGUCUUUCGGUUCCAGGGGAAGUAUGGUUGCAAAGCUGAAACUUAAAGGAAUUGACGGAAGGGCACCACCAGGAGUGGAGCCUGCGGCUUAAUUUGACUCAACACGGGGAAACUCACCCGGCCCGGACACUGUGAGGAUUGACAGGUUGAAGCCCUUUCUUGAUUCAGUGGGUGGUGGUGCAUGGCCGUUCUUAGUUGGUGGAGUGAUUUGUCUGGUUAAUUCCGAUAACGAACGAGACUCUAGCCUACUAAUUAGACUGAGGCAUCCUUCGUGCUGCCUCAGCGCUUCCUAGAGGGACAGGCGGCGUUUCAGCCGUAUGAGAAAGAGCAAUAACAGGUCUGUGAUGCCCUUAGAUGUCCGGGGCCGCACGCGCGCUACACUGAAGAGAUCAGCGUGUAUGUGCAUCCUACUCCGAAAGGAGCGGGAAACCGAGUGAACCCUUUUCGUGCUUGGGAUUGGGGAUUGUAAUUAU